GACGAACGCUGGCGGCGUGCUUAACACAUGCAAGUCGAACGGAAAGGCCCCUUAGGGGGUGCUCGAGUGGCGAACGGGUGAGUAACACGUGGGUGACCUGCCCUGCACUUCGGGAUAAGCCUGGGAAACUGGGUCUAAUACCGGAUAGGACCGCGCAGUAGGUGUGUGGUGGAAAGUUUUUUCGGUGCAGGAUGGGCCCGCGGCCUAUCAGCUAGUUGGUGGGGUAAUGGCCUACCAAGGCGGCGACGGGUAGCCGGCCUGAGAGGGUGGACGGCCACAUUGGGACUGAGACACGGCCCAGACUCCUACGGGAGGCAGCAGUGGGGAAUAUUGCACAAUGGGCGCAAGCCUGAUGCAGCGACGCCGCGUGGGGGAUGAAGGCCUUCGGGUUGUAAACUCCUUUCAUCAUCGACGAAGGGCUCCGGUUAUGGGGUUUGACGGUAGGUGGAGAAGAAGCACCGGCUAACUACGUGCCAGCCGCCGCCGUAAUAC
rnacentral:rRNA from 1 species